ACCACCAUAUGCCAUGCAUGCAGCCCUAAAAAGAAAAAAAAGUAAGCCUAAACAUUUCUUACUUGAGUUGUUAGGGAGUCUCAUUAUUCUGAGGUAAACCAUAAAACUGCUGCAAAAAAAGUCAUGCGAAAGAAUGGGAACUAUGCUUAUUUUAUGAAGUUAUGUAUAGCACAAUAAUGUCCAUUUUACAACUAUAGUACUGCAUUUAAUUAUCUUCCAUUUUUACUGAAAAAAAAAAAAAAUCCAAUAGUGAAUUCACUUCCCAUGGCUUCUAAGGGAGGUCAAUAAAAUCUUCAUCCUUGAAAGGCUGGCCAAAUUUCCUUCAUGGGAAGCAGAUUGACACGAGUGGGAGAGAGAUUUUUUAAAUCUGCCCAAAUCAAAGCCACUGUGCAUAAUAGAGUUGAUAUUUCAGAGACAACAUGAAGAUGGAGAUGUCUGCCAUACAUAAAAACUAGUGAUGCUGAAUACAUGAAGUAUCAGGCUCCACCAUGAAACGACUGACUGUAGGAGUAAGUCAUAAGGUAUGUGCAUGAGCCAUUGCCAAAUCACUGGGGAAACAGCUUUGAGUGCUGGCGAGGGGAAGACAUGGGAUGGCUCCAUGAAAGAGCAGGACCCAAAUGGGGCAUUGAGAGACUGGCGAGAUUUUUUUUUAUUAGGGAAAUGUCCCUAAACCCCACAUUUUAGCAGGGUUUCUACUCAAAUGAUCCAGGCACAGGAAUUGAAGUAGAAAAUGCUCAGCUCUAGGCCUGAGAAGUAUCUCCCCAUGGACUAAGAAAAAACUCAGGAAUUUGAGACUGCUGACUGGGUGGGCCUCAGGGUUGGAAAUUUGUAUACAAUAAGCCUUGUGCCUGUCAAUGCCUAGGCUGUAACCCAAAGCCGACAGUGUGACUCUCGGGUGUUGGGGAAGUCCUUUGUGAAAAUGAAAGAAGUGAGGGGGGUGAGUUUCUCCUGAAACAGAAUCAGGUAAACAAGUUCAUAUUCUGGCCCCUGGACUGAACACACUUGGGCAGCUAUCCCACCAGCAGGACCUUUGGGGAGUUCCCUCAUGCCCCACCUCAUCCUUUCAUGGGCUGGGUUGUAAUUUCUGAUUGAGCAGCCCCAGGAUUUGGGAGAAAGUGCCUUGGAAAAUGGGAAAGUCAAAAUGUCACUGAAGGGUCUGUCUGAGCUGGAGAGAAAAAGUAAACAGAGUAGAAGCAAACUACCCCUGAAAUGCUCUCAAACUCAAGUUCAAAUUCACAAACCUGAGGCCCAGAGAGAGACAGAAGUCUGUACUUCCAGACUCUGUUUUCUUGUCUGAGGACCUGCAUCUUCCUAGGGGUGAUGUCUGGGCUGUACACCCCUUAGGAAAGACCAGAUCCUCUCCUGGUGUGAGCCUUUACCCUAUGAGAUACUUCAGCACAGCACAAAGCCCCCAAUAUCUACCCCAACAAAUACCCACAGUGAGAAGUGGACAGAACCUUCCAUUACAUUUGGGUCUUGAACAGAGGGACCCUUGAGGUACUGCUUCCAUGGAAAAUUCCAUCUUCAAUAGGAAUCACAAGAAAUAUGUAUUAAAAUCCCCAAAGGCUGUUGUCCCCAUACCCAGAACCAGCCUUGUUUGUACUAAAAUAGGCAGAACCCAAGGGACCCUGAAAAGACAAAACCUCUCAAAAUAAUUUCUCCUCUGUGCAGCUGCCCCAGGGUGAGAAAAUCUACCACUGGAGACUGGGUCCUUUGCACAAGACAUUAUGUUAGGAGCACAAGCCUCUAGCAACUGAAGAAGUAGAACGCAGAAAGUAAGCCAGACCAGGAGAAGCAUGAAGAGUGAGUUCAUGUAAUGUAUUAUUUUGCCUGAGACCAAAAAAAAGAAGCAGCAGGGAGACAGGCUCUUCCAAAAGAUUAACAUGUUACCAAAUGGACCUUCCUCAGAAGAGAUAAUAAAGGUUAUAGUUGGCUGAUGU